CGUUAGCGGCUGACGGGUGAGUAACACGUGGGUAACCUACCUAUAAGACUGGGAUAACUUCGGGAAACCGGAGCUAAUACCGGAUAAUAUUUCGAACCGCAUGGUUCGAUAGUGAAAGAUGGUUUUGCUAUCACUUAUAGAUGGACCCGCGCCGUAUUAGCUAGUUGGUAAGGUAACGGCUUACCAAGGCGACGAUACGUAGCCGACCUGAGAGGGUGAUCGGCCACACUGGAACUGAGACACGGUCCAGACUCCUACGGGAGGCAGCAGGA
rnacentral:rRNA from 1 species